UACGUAGGGUGCAAGCGUUAAUCGGAAUUACUGGGCGUAAAGCGUGCGCCGGCGGUUUUGUAAGUCUGUCGUGCAAGCCCCGGGCUCAACCUGGGAAUUGCGAUGGAGACUGCAAGGCUUGAAUCUGGCAGAGGGGGGUAGAAUUCCACGUGUAGCAGUGAAAUGCGUAGAGAUGUGGAGGAACACCGAUGGCGAAGGCAGCCCCCUGGGUCAAGAUUGACGCUCAUGCACGAAAGCGUGGGGAGCAAACAGG
rnacentral:rRNA from 1 species